UAAUAAUAAUACAAUAAUGAUUUGAUGUAGUUUGUCAGGUAUUGUAUUAUUAGAAUCUAUAAUAUAAAGUUAUAAAGGUUUCACAUUUCUUGGGCUGGAUAUUAAAUGUGUACUUGAAUAGACCCUUAUCUAAAUCCCUAUUAUUAAAACUACUAUUGUGUUUCAUAGUGAAGUAUUAAAUAUUCUGAUGGAUACAAUUAUUUGGAUUAUUCAGAUCUUGUAAGACUGCUCACUGACAAGGCAUCCAACACUUCAUUUAAGUAUGAAAAGUCACAUUAGAUGAGAUAAACCAGCUUAACAAGACCAUUUUAAUGAAUAUUUCCUCCCGCUUAUUUCUAAGAGAUCUAGACUAUGUAGAAAUAGCCUGAAGCAGAUUUGUGAAGAAUAGCACAUUGAUUACCUAAUUAUUGUACUGGAAAAAAUAUGACAAAUUUUAAUGAUGUUAGACAAUGUUAGACACUACUUUAGAAAAUAAUCAAUAUAAUUUUUCUUGACAUCUGUUUCUAAUUUGUUUUCUUAUAUUUCUGUAUUCUUCAAGUUCCUGAG
rnacentral:lncRNA from 1 species